GCGGAUGUGGUGAAAUUGGUAGACACGCUAGACUUAGGAUCUAGUGCCGCAAGGUGUGUGGGUUCGACUCCCUCCAUCCGCACCA
rnacentral:tRNA from 1 species